rnacentral:rRNA from 1 species
CAGCAGUGGGGGAUAUUGCGCAAUGGGGGCAACCCUGACGCAGCAACGCCGCGUGAAGGAUGAAGGUUUUCGGAUUGUAAACUUCUUUUCUUAAGGACGAAAUUUGACGGUACUUAAGGAAUAAGCUCCGGCUAACUACGUGCCAGCAGCCGCGGUAAUACGUAGGGAGCAAGCGUUGUCCGGAUUUACUGGGUGUAAAGGGUGCGUAGGCGGCAAUGCAAGUCAGAUGUGAAAUCUAUGGGCUCAACCCAUAAACUGCAUUUGAAACUGCGUUGCUUGAGUGAAGUAGAGGCAGGCGGAAUUCCCCGUGUAGCGGUGAAAUGCGUAGAGAUGGGGAGGAACACCAGUGGCGAAGGCGGCCUGCUGGGCUUUAACUGACGCUGAGGCACGAAAGCGUGGGUAGCAAACAGGAUUAGA